UCUGCCUCUCCAUCAGCUCUGCCGUCAUGGCGAUCAAGGCCUCGAGAGAAGUCAGAAGGGAGAAAAGGAGAAGACCGGGGACCCAGAACUCUACAAACCACUGCUGGAGGAAGUCACCAGUAACCCCACAGUCUGAAUGGAAAUAUCUGCUUUGUGCUCUGAGCUACCACGUAUAAUCCUGUGCAUUUAUACCAUUGACUGUAUAUCUAUGUAAUGUCAAUGAUUUAGUCAAAUUCAGGUGGUAUGCUUAAAAAUACUUAAAGAUAGCACUUAUAUUUUGUAUGAUUUUCUAUAGAAUAAUGUGCCUUACGGUCAGCUUGUGUAGGUAAAAGGGAAGUUCAUGAAUGUGAGUAUGUGACAUUGAUAGAAAUAUACGGUUUUUGUUUACUAUUUUACAAUAUUAAGUCAUGUUAAAAAAAGUCAUCAAUGUUGAUUGUUUGUGCUUCUGUGUACUUUAUGAUAAACCUUAAAGCCAGACACGACAAUGUAAUCAGUUUAAUAACUAGUUGUGUUCUUUGUGUACGAAUAAUAAACCGUUAUCAUUAAAGUA